CCUACGGGAGGCAGCAGUGGGGAAUCUUCCACAAUGGACGCAAGUCUGAUGGAGCAACGCCGCGUGAGUGAAGAAGGGUUUCGGCUCGUAAAGCUCUGUUGUUAAAGAAGAAGGCGGGUAAGAGUAACUGUUUACCCAGUGACGGUAUUUAACCAGAAAGCCCCGGCUAACUACGUGCCAGCAGCCGCGGUAAUA
rnacentral:rRNA from 1 species